CACGGGGGGAGCAAGCGUUGUUCGGAAUUACUGGGCGUAAAGGGCGUCUAGGCGGAUAGGUAAGUGGGAUGUGAAAUCCCUCGGCUCACCCGAGGACCUGCACCCCAAACUGCCUGUCUUGAGUAUGGGAGAGGAUGAGGGAAUUCCUGGUGUAGCGGUGAAAUGCGUAGAUAUCAGGAGGAACACCGGUGGUGUAGACGGCUUACUGGACCACGACUGACACUGAGGCACGAAAGCGUGGGUAGCAAACAGG
rnacentral:rRNA from 1 species